rnacentral:lncRNA from 1 species
AUGAUAAGAGAUCAGAUCGUAUUUGGAAUAAAAGAUACAAAGAUAGGAGAGAGGCUUCUGAGGGAGGCGGAUCUGACUCUAGCAAGUGCUGUGAAAGUAUGUCAUGCCAGUGAGCUUGCAAUACAACAUGCAAAAACCUUCAGCGGGUCGCCGAGGGAAACAGACACGGAAAGCACGGCUGUAGCUGCAGUUAAUACACGGCAGGCAGGGCGCACGUAUAAAAAAGAACAGAAAGAAUCAAAAGACACGUUCUUGUGCAAAAGAUGUGGCACAAAAUAUGGAAGGAAACAAUGCCCAGCUUAUGGUAAAAUAUGCAAAAAAUGCAAUGGACAAAACCAUUUUGUCAAGCAAUGUUUUUCAAAGAAUAAGCAAAAAGAAAGAGUACACACAGUAGAAGAAACUGCUCUCAGUGACACGUUUUUUGUGGGAAUGGUAAUGCAACAUGAUACACCCAUGGACCAACCUGCAGUCAGUACAGUGAAGCAGGACAAAUGGACAGAGACGUUACCAGUGAAUGGAGCCCUGGUAACUUUCAAACUGGACACAGGAGCCAAGGCUAAUCUGGUGAAUGAGCUGGAUGUGAAAGCAAUGAAAACGAAACCACCCAUAUUCCAAAAUAACAGUUUACUCCAAGCAUAUAAUGGAGAACCAAUCAAAACCAAAGGUAAAUGCAGGCUCAGGGUACAAGUAAAAGGAAAAUAUCACAGUCUGAUGUUUAUCAUUGUGCUGGAGGGACAUGAAUCUCUAUUGGGAGAUAAAGCAUGUGAGAGACUCGGCCUAGUCAGACAGGUAUACAGCAUAAACAGCUCUGAUCCCAAAAGUGUGAAAGACAUAUUGGAUCUGUACCCAGACAUAUUCAAGGGGUUUGGAGUCUUACCCUUCACCUACAAGAUAAAGCUGAAAGAAGGAGCUCAGCCUGUGGUUCAUGCACCUCGACGUGUUCCAGCUGCUCUUAAAGACAAGCUUAAAGAGGAACUAGAGCGGAUGGAGGCACUGGAAGUUAUAAGAAAAGUUGAAGAACCUACUGAAUGGGUUAAUUCCAUGGUGUGCAUUAAAAAACCAACCGGCGCUCUUAGAGUUUGCAUGGAUCCAAAAGACUUAAAUGCCAACAUACAAAGAGAGCAUUACCAGAUACCUACAAGAGAAGAAAUAACAAGUGAAAUGGCUGGUGCAAAAUUUUUUAGCAAACUAGAUGCGUCUCAAGGAUUUUGGCAACUCAAGCUUCAUGAGGACAGUACAAAAUACUGCACGUUCAACACGCCAUUUGGGCGUUACUGCUUCUUGAGAAUGCCUUUUGGAAUUUCUUCAGCUCCUGAGAUAUUCCACAGGACCAUGGAGCAUAUGAUCGAAGGAAUCGAGGGAGUCAGAGUUUAUAUGGACGACAUCAUUUUGUGGGGAUCCACACUCCAGCAGCACAAUGAGAGACUAGCAAAGGUUUUGGAAAGAGUGAAACGUUAUGGACUUAAACUGAACAGAGCAAAAUGUCAGUUUGGCGUGGGUGACAUUACCUUUCUCGUUGACAAGCUGACAGCCGAAGGCAUCGAGCCGGACAAGGAAAAA